ACUCCUACGGGAGGCAGCAGUGGGGAAUAUUGCACAAUGGGCGCAAGCCUGAUGCAGCCAUGCCGCGUGUAUGAAGAAGGCCUUCGGGUUGUAAAGUACUUUCAGCAGUGAGGAAGGUGGGUAUGUUAAUAGCAUACUCAUUUGACGUUAGCUGCAGAAGAAGCACCGGCUAACUCCGUGCCAGCAGCCGCGGUAAUACGGAGGGUGCGAGCGUUAAUCGGAAUUACUGGGCGUAAAGCGCAUGCAGGUGGUUUGUUAAGUCAGAUGUGAAAGCCCGGGGCUCAACCUCGGAAUUGCAUUUGAAACUGGCAAACUAGAGUACUGUAGAGGGGGGUAGAAUUUCAGGUGUAGCGGUGAAAUGCGUAGAGAUCUGAAGGAAUACCGGUGGCGAAGGCGGCCCCCUGGACAGAUACUGACACUCAGAUGCGAAAGCGUGGGGAGCAAACAGGAUUAGAUACCCUGGUAGGACUCU
rnacentral:rRNA from 1 species